GUCACUGCCCAUUUACCAUUACGCAGGGGCUUAUGAUAGUAAUUGAUAUUUCCAACAUAUAAGCUCCUAUUCUCGGGUAUCUUAUUUAUUUCCUUGAUAACCGCAUCCACUCUAACAAAUGUAUCAUCAUCACACUUCAUGAUAUUUUUUGCAAAUGCUACAUGGACCCCAUAUUCGCAGAUGGCAACUGUUUUCAAGACAACAAGAUCAUAAUUGUCCAUGAAAGGAACAAUGACAAUGUCACCAAAGAAUUGUGCUUCUUUCUUCAACUCCACGUUUAUAUCCUUCCUAGCGUGCAACGCGACAAAAAAUCGAGCCACAACAUUCGAAGAUUUGAUGAGCUGGUGCUGCAGCCAAGACCUCCUUAUAGCCAU
rnacentral:misc_RNA from 1 species